rnacentral:rRNA from 1 species
CCUACGGGAGGCAGCAGUGGGGAAUAUUGCACAAUGGGGGAAACCCUGAUGCAGCGACGCCGCGUGAGUGAAGAAGGAUUUCGGUAUGUAAAGCUCUAUUAGUAGGGAAGAAAAUGACGGUACCUGACUAAGAAGCCCCGGCUAACUACGUGCCAGCAGCCGCGGUAAUACGUAGGGGGCAAGCGUUAUCCGGAUUUACUGGGUGUAAAGGGCGUGCAGCCGGGAAGAGACGUCAGAUGUGAAAUCCCGCGGCUCAACCGCGGAACUGCAUUUGAAACUGUUUUUCUUGAGUAUCGGAGAGGUAAUCGGAAUUCCUAGUGUAGCGGUGAAAUGCGUAGAUAUUAGGAAGAACACCAGUGGCGAAGGCGGAUUACUGGACGACAACUGACGGUGAGGCGCGAAAGCGUGGGGAGCAAACAGGAUUAGAUACCCUUGUAGUC